rnacentral:rRNA from 1 species
GGGUUGUGAGGUUAAGCGACUAAGCGUACACGGUGGAUGCCCUGGCAGUCAGAGGCGAUGAAGGACGUGCUAAUCUGCGAUAAGCGUCGGUAAGGUGAUAUGAACCGUUAUAACCGGCGAUUUCCGAAUGGGGAAACCCAGUGUGUUUCGACACACUAUCAUUAACUGAAUCCAUAGGUUAAUGAGGCGAACCGGGGGAACUGAAACAUCUAAGUACCCCGAGGAAAAGAAAUCAACCGAGAUUCCCCCAGUAGCGGCGAGCGAACGGGGAGCAGCCCAGAGCCUGAAUCAGUAUGUGUGUUAGUGGAAGCGUCUGGAAAGGCGCGCGAUACAGGGUGACAGCCCCGUACACAAAAAUGCACAUAUUGUGAGCUCGAUGAGUAGGGCGGGACACGUGGUAUCCUGUCUGAAUAUGGGGGGACCAUCCUCCAAGGCUAAAUACUCCUGACUGACCGAUAGUGAACCAGUACCGUGAGGGAAAGGCGAAAAGAACCCCGGCGAGGGGAGUGAAAAAGAACCUGAAACCGUGUACGUACAAGCAGUGGGAGCACGCUUAGGCGUGUGACUGCGUACCUUUUGUAUAAUGGGUCAGCGACUUAUAUUCUGUAGCAAGGUUAACCGAAUAGGGGAGCCGAAGGGAAACCGAGUCUUAACUGGGCGUUAAGUUGCAGGGUAUAGACCCGAAACCCGGUGAUCUAGCCAUGGGCAGGUUGAAGGUUGGGUAACACUAACUGGAGGACCGAACCGACUAAUGUUGAAAAAUUAGCGGAUGACUUGUGGCUGGGGGUGAAAGGCCAAUCAAACCGGGAGAUAGCUGGUUCUCCCCGAAAGCUAUUUAGGUAGCGCCUCGUGAAUUCAUCUCCGGGGGUAGAGCACUGUUUCGGCAAGGGGGUCAUCCCGACUUACCAACCCGAUGCAAACUGCGAAUACCGGAGAAUGUUAUCACGGGAGACACACGGCGGGUGCUAACGUCCGUCGUGAAGAGGGAAACAACCCAGACCGCCAGCUAAGGUCCCAAAGUCAUGGUUAAGUGGGAAACGAUGUGGGAAGGCCCAGACAGCCAGGAUGUUGGCUUAGAAGCAGCCAUCAUUUAAAGAAAGCGUAAUAGCUCACUGGUCGAGUCGGCCUGCGCGGAAGAUGUAACGGGGCUAAACCAUGCACCGAAGCUGCGGCAGCGACACUNNNNNNNNNNNNNNNNNNNNNNNNNNNNNNNNNNNNNNGAAGGUGUGCUGUGAGGCAUGCUGGAGGUAUCAGAAGUGCGAAUGCUGACAUAAGUAACGAUAAAGCGGGUGAAAAGCCCGCUCGCCGGAAGACCAAGGGUUCCUGUCCAACGUUAAUCGGGGCAGGGUGAGUCGACCCCUAAGGCGAGGCCGAAAGGCGUAGUCGAUGGGAAACAGGUUAAUAUUCCUGUACUUGGUGUUACUGCGAAGGGGGGACGGAGAAGGCUAUGUUGGCCGGGCGACGGUUGUCCCGGUUUAAGCGUGUAGGCUGGUUUUCCAGGCAAAUCCGGAAAAUCAAGGCUGAGGCGUGAUGACGAGGCACUACGGUGCUGAAGCAACAAAUGCCCUGCUUCCAGGAAAAGCCUCUAAGCAUCAGGUAACAUCAAAUCGUACCCCAAACCGACACAGGUGGUCAGGUAGAGAAUACCAAGGCGCUUGAGAGAACUCGGGUGAAGGAACUAGGCAAAAUGGUGCCGUAACUUCGGGAGAAGGCACGCUGAUAUGUAGGUGAGGUCCCUCGCGGAUGGAGCUGAAAUCAGUCGAAGAUACCAGCUGGCUGCAACUGUUUAUUAAAAACACAGCACUGUGCAAACACGAAAGUGGACGUAUACGGUGUGACGCCUGCCCGGUGCCGGAAGGUUAAUUGAUGGGGUUAGCCGCAAGGCGAAGCUCUUGAUCGAAGCCCCGGUAAACGGCGGCCGUAACUAUAACGGUCCUAAGGUAGCGAAAUUCCUUGUCGGGUAAGUUCCGACCUGCACGAAUGGCGUAAUGAUGGCCAGGCUGUCUCCACCCGAGACUCAGUGAAAUUGAACUCGCUGUGAAGAUGCAGUGUACCCGCGGCAAGACGGAAAGACCCCGUGAACCUUUACUAUAGCUUGACACUGAACAUUGAGCCUUGAUGUGUAGGAUAGGUGGGAGGCUUAGAAGUGUGGACGCCAGUCUGCAUGGAGCCGACCUUGAAAUACCACCCUUUAAUGUUUGAUGUUCUAACGUUGACCCGUAAUCCGGGUUGCGGACAGUGUCUGGUGGGUAGUUUGACUGGGGCGGUCUCCUCCUAAAGAGUAACGGAGGAGCACGAAGGUUGGCUAAUCCUGGUCGGACAUCAGGAGGUUAGUGCAAUGGCAUAAGCCAGCUUGACUGCGAGCGUGACGGCGCGAGCAGGUGCGAAAGCAGGUCAUAGUGAUCCGGUGGUUCUGAAUGGAAGGGCCAUCGCUCAACGGAUAAAAGGUACUCCGGGGAUAACAGGCUGAUACCGCCCAAGAGUUCAUAUCGACGGCGGUGUUUGGCACCUCGAUGUCGGCUCAUCACAUCCUGGGGCUGAAGUAGGUCCCAAGGGUAUGGCUGUUCGCCAUUUAAAGUGGUACGCGAGCUGGGUUUAGAACGUCGUGAGACAGUUCGGUCCCUAUCUGCCGUGGGCGCUGGAGAACUGAGGGGGGCUGCUCCUAGUACGAGAGGACCGGAGUGGACGCAUCACUGGUGUUCGGGUUGUCAUGCCAAUGGCACUGCCCGGUAGCUAAAUGCGGAAGAGAUAAGUGCUGAAAGCAUCUAAGCACGAAACUUGCCCCGAGAUGAGUUCUCCCUGAC